UACGUAGGGAGCAAGCGUUGUCCGGAUUCAUUGGGCGUAAAGGGUGCGUAGGCGGCGCGGUAAGUCGGGUGUGAAAUCUCGGGGCUUAACUCCGAAACUGCAUUCGAUACUGCCGUGCUUGAGGACUGGAGAGGAGACUGGAAUUUACGGUGUAGCGGUGAAAUGCGUAGAUAUCGUAAGGAAGACCAGUGGCGAAGGCGGGUCUCUGGACAGUUCCUGACGCUGAGGCACGAAGGCCAGGGGAGCAAACGGG
rnacentral:rRNA from 1 species